GGAGUAGUAUUGAUGGGUAUUUAAGCCCAAAAAAUUCGGACACCCCUAGAUACCCUAAUCACUUCACACGAUCGCACCACUCUGUUCUCUUCUCCCUCUCUCCCUCUAUUCUGUUGGACUCUGGCGAGGAAGACUCGAUGUCGACGGCCAUGGUGGCACCGCCGUGGGGCUCAUGCUAGCUAAUGAAGUAGCAGGAUGUGACCGCCCACCCCGCUGUCCGAGAAGAAGCGUAGCUGCGCGUCGCUGUCCAUGUCAACAGGCAACAAAUUGAUGAAUGGAACAGGGGGCAACACACUACCAUGCCUAAGCUUGUAUAGCUGUCCAAUAGCUGCUUAUGGUAUUUUAACUAGCUAGCUAGCUAGUAUUUUGUCUCGAAUACUAUUCUCACAGGAUACAUACAUUAGUUUUUAAUUC